rnacentral:rRNA from 1 species
UUACAUCUCUUCGGAGCAUUUUACGUAGGUGCUGCAUGGUUGUCGUCAGCUCGUGCCGUGAGGUGUCGGGUAAGUCUCAUAACGAGCGCAACCCUACCCUUUAGUUGCCAUCAGGUUAAGCUGGGGACUCUAAAGGAGCUGCCUACGCAAGUAGUGAGGAAGGCGGGGAUGACGUCAAAUCAGCACGGCCCUUACGUCCAGGGCUACACACGUGCUACAAUGGCCGAUACAGAGGGCAGCUACCUGGUGACAGGAUGCAAAUCUCCAAAGUCGGUCUCAGUUCGGAUCGGAGUCUGCAACCCGACUCCGUGAAGUUGGAUUCGCUAGUAAUCGCGCAUCAGCCAUGGCGCGGUGAAUACGUUCCCGGGCCUU